GACGAACUUUGGCGGCGUGCUUAACACAUGCAAGUCGAACGGAAAGGCCCUGCUUUUGUGGGGUGCUCGAGUGGCGAACGGGUGAGUAACACGUGAGUAACCUGCCCUUGACUUUGGGAUAACUUCAGGAAACUGGGGCUAAUACCGGAUAGGAGCUCCUGCUGCAUGGUGGGGGUUGGAAAGUUUCGGCGGUUGGGGAUGGACUCGCGGCUUAUCAGCUUGUUGGUGGGGUAGUGGCUUACCAAGGCUUUGACGGGUAGCCGGCCUGAGAGGGUGACCGGCCACAUUGGGACUGAGAUACGGCCCAGACUCCUACGGGAGGCAGCAGUGGGGAAUAUUGCACAAUGGGCGGAAGCCUGAUGCAGCAACGCCGCGUGCGGGAUGACGGCCUUCGGGUUGUAAACCGCUUUCGCCUGUGACGAAGCGUGAGUGACGGUAAUGGGUAAAGAAGCACCGGCUAACUACGUGCCAGCAGCCGCGGUGAUACGUAGGGUGCGAGCGUUGUCCGGAUUUAUUGGGCGUAAAGGGCUCGUAGGUGGUUGAUCGCGUCGGAAGUGUAAUCUUGGGGCUUAACCCUGAGCGUGCUUUCGAUACGGGUUGACUUGAGGAAGGUAGGGGAGAAUGGAAUUCCUGGUGGAGCGGUGGAAUGCGCAGAUAUCAGGAGGAACACCAGUGGCGAAGGCGGUUCUCUGGGCCUUUCCUGACGCUGAGGAGCGAAAGCGUGGGGAGCGAACAGGCCUAGAUACCCUGGUAGUCCACGCUGUAAACGGUGGGUACUAGGUGUGGGGUCCAUUCCACGGGUUCCGUGCCGUAGCUAACGCUUUAAGUACCCCGCCUGGGGAGUACGGCCGCAAGGCUAAAACUCAAAGGAAUUGACGGGGCCCCGCACAAGCGGCGGAGCAUGCGGAUUAAUUCGAUGCAACGCGUAGAACCUUACCUGGGUUUGACAUGGAUCGGGAGUGCUCAGAGAUGGGUGUGCCUCUUUUGGGGUCGGUUCACAGGUGGUGCAUGCCUGUCGUCAGCUCGUGUCGUGAGAUGUUGGGUUAAGUCCCGCAACGAGCGCAACCCUUGUUCACUGUUGCCAGCACGUUAUGGUGGGGACUCAGUGGAGACCGCCGGGGUCAACUCGGAGGAAGGUGGGGAUGACGUCAAGUCAUCAUGCCCCUUAUGUCCAGGGCUUCACGCAUGCUACAAUGGCUGGUACAGAGAGUGGCGAGCCUGUGAGGGUGAGCGAAUCUCGGAAAGCCGGUCUCAGUUCGGAUUGGGGUCUGCAACUCGACCUCAUGAAGUCGGAGUCGCUAGUAAUCGCAGAUCAGCAACGCUGCGGUGAAUACGUUCCCGGGGCU
rnacentral:rRNA from 1 species